rnacentral:rRNA from 1 species
UGCAUGACUCUUGGCAACGGAUAUCUUGGCUCUUGCAUCGAUGAAGAACGUAGUGAAAUAUGUUACUUGGUGUGAAUUGCAGAAUCUUGUGAACCAUUGAGUCUUUGAAUGCAAGUUGCGCUCAAUGGCUAUGAGGCUAAAGGCACUCCUGCCUGGGCAUCACG